UCCAGUCCACACCGCUCUCUACAGCUCUGUCCAGUCCACACCGCUCUCUACAACUCUGUCCAGUCCACACCGCUCUCUACAGCUCUGUCCAGUCCACAUCGCUCUCUACAGCUCUGUCCAGUCCACACCGCUCUCUACAGCUCUAUCCAGUCCACAUCGCUCUCUACAGCUCUGUCCAGUCCACAUCGCUCUCUACAUCUCAAUCCAGUCCACACUGCUCUCACCAGCUCCAGGGGAAAGAGACUGGUAUAGUUUCUCCUCUCCACAAAGAUGAACCUCUUCUGCUUCUCUCUGGAGGGUUCUACGGACAGUCUGUAUGAGGCUGUGCAGGACUCCAGUGAUGCCCAGGUCUACACCAUCCCCAGCCGUUCCUCCAGCCGCUCCUGUAGCCUUGCCGUGCUGCUGGAUGAAAACCCCAAGUGGCGUGGCUCGGGACGAUCCAUUUCCAUUGAGAUCUCCCAAAUGCAGACCAACAACACCAAAAAAAUGAA